UUAGUCUUAUAAUUUAAGGCUGGAAUGAAAGAGAAAACCAAGAAAAUACUUUUUUAAAAUUAAUUAUUGAAUUUUACUUUUUAGUGAAAAGGCUAAAAUUUAUCUUUUAGACAAGAAGACCCUAUAAAUCUUUACAUUAGAAGUUUUGAAAACUUAAAUAUGUUUUAUUGGGGUGAUAAAGAAAGAAAACGUUCUUUUCUGUUAUUAACAUAUUCGUAAUAAUAACCAAAAAUUUUGAAUAAUAAACAAGUUACUUUAGGGAUAACAGCGUAAUUUAUUUAAAAAGUUCUUAUUGACAAAUAAGUUUGCGACCUCGAUGUUGGAUUAGGAUUCCUUUCUUGUAUAGAAG
rnacentral:rRNA from 1 species